ACACAUGCAAGUCGAGGGACAGCAUGUUGGUUGCUUGCAACCAAUGAUGGCGACCGGCGCACGGGUGAGUAACGCGUAUCCAACCUACCCUUGUCCAUCGGAUAACCCGUCGAAAGGCGGCCUAACACGAUAUGCGGUUCACAGCAGGCAUCUAAGGUGAACGAAAUGUGAAGGAGAAGGAUGGGGAUGCGUCUGAUUAGCUUGUUGGCGGGGUAACGGCCCACCAAGGCUACGAUCAGUAGGGGUUCUGAGAGGAAGGUCCCCCACAUUGGAACUGAGACACGGUCCAAACUCCUACGGGAGGCAGCAGUGAGGAAUAUUGGUCAAUGGACGAGAGUCUGAACCAGCCAAGUAGCGUGCAGGAUGACGGCCCUAUGGGUUGUAAACUGCUUUUAUAGGGGGAUAAAGUGUGCCACGUGUGGCAUAUUGCAGGUACCCUACGAAUAAGGACCGGCUAAUUCCGUGCCAGCAGCCGCGGUAAUACGGAAGGUCCAGGCGUUAUCCGGAUUUAUUGGGUUUAAAGGGAGCGUAGGCCGUUUGGUAAGCGUGUUGUGAAAUGUCGGGGCUCAACCUGGGCAUUGCAGCGCGAACUGCCAGACUUGAGUGCGCAGGAAGUAGGCGGAAUUCGUCGUGUAGCGGUGAAAUGCUUAGAUAUGACGAAGAACUCCGAUUGCGAAGGCAGCCUGCUGUAGCGCAACUGACGCUGAA
rnacentral:rRNA from 1 species